GUGUUUUAGUAACUGUUGCAUUUCUGGUUUCCAUGUACUUAUUCUGCCUUUUUUUUGGCGAUUCCAGGGAGUUUUGCUUGGAUCUUUUCAACAAUUGACUUGGUCUGAUCUCGGGCGAUGCCAACAUAGUGAUCAAUCUGGGUCUUGUACUUCUCAUAGACAAUCGGGACACUGAAAAUGAGCAGUUCAGCAAGAAUUAGAAGGGUG
rnacentral:lncRNA from 1 species